ACACAAUAGAUAACACACACAGAGCUCUCUCCUCAAUAUCUCCACUCUCACAAAAAGAAAAAAAAAACUCUUCUUCUUGACCUUUUCCGUCGCCGCUCAUAUCCCUCCAUUUCCACACCUUGCCUUUUCCCUACAACAACCACCUUCCAUUCACCUUCAACCUUAGCCAUCAGUGAUUCAUCAUCGAAUCCUCCACACCGACCGCGAUACCUCCAC
rnacentral:lncRNA from 1 species